AGUGAGCGCUGGCGGUAGGCCUAACACAUGCAAGUCGAACGGCAGCACAGUAAGAGCUUGCUCUUACGGGUGGCGAGUGGCGGACGGGUGAGGAAUACAUCGGAAUCUACUUUUUCGUGGGGGAUAACGUAGGGAAACUUACGCUAAUACCGCAUACGACCUACGGGUGAAAGCAGGGGAUCUUCGGACCUUGCGCGAUUGAAUGAGCCGAUGUCGGAUUAGCUAGUUGGCGGGGUAAAGGCCCACCAAGGCGACGAUCCGUAGCUGGUCUGAGAGGAUGAUCAGGCACACUGGAACUGAGACACGGUCCAGACUCCUACGGGAGGCAGCAGUGGGGAAUAUUGGACAAUGGGCGCAAGCCUGAUCCAGCCAUACCGCGUGGGUGAAGAAGGCCUUCGAUUGUAAAGCCCUUUUGUUGGGAAAGAAAAGCAGCAGGUUAAUACCCCGCUGUUCUGACGGUACCCAAAGAAUAAGCACCGGCUAACUUCGUG
rnacentral:rRNA from 1 species